GUUUGACGUUAGCUGCAGAAGAAGCACCGGCUAACUCCGUGCCAGCAGCCGCGGUAAUACGGAGGGUGCGAGCGUUAAUCGGAAUUACUGGGCGUAAAGCGCAUGCAGGUGGUUCGUUAAGUCAGAUGUGAAAGCCCGGGGCUCAACCUCGGAACUGCAUUUGAAACUGGCGGACUAGAGUACUGUAUAGGGGGGUAGAAUUUCAGGUGUG
rnacentral:rRNA from 1 species